UUAAAGAAAUCAAAGAUGAGAAGAAGACGUCGCAUCGGCUUGUUCCACUUGCCACUAACACAACCAAAGCCCAUCAUGGUUUUGGCUGGGUUGGGGAAUGGGAAAACACAGGUUCUGAGCUCAACAGGAAGCCUUCAGGUGGACCA